CCCCCCCCCAAAUGGCUGCUGCUCUCCUCAAACCACACCAGUACCAGCCACUAUCCCUCGCUCUCUCCCCCUCCCUCCCUCCAUCUCCCUCUGUCUUCCUCUCUCUCCUCCCUCUCUCCCUCUUCUCCCCGUUUUCAUUUGCCCCGAACGGCAAAUAUGUACUCGUACGAUGCCGAGCCAGUCGCCUACCGAUACAACCCCUGGUACUGGCUUGGCAAGCCUUGCUUGAAGGUGCCUAUCAGGUGACAAACAAACACCCUCUCGUAGAUACUUAUUGAAAAUUGUUCUUGCAUUGGGUUUUCUAUCAGCAUAGUGUUUUAUUUGCUUAGCUAUUCUAAAUCUGAUCUCGACUUUAUUAUUUUCGAGCAUUAUUUUAGCUCUCAAGGCCCAGUUCACAUUGAAUAUUAGGACCUUCAAGUGGAAAGAUGCUCAAAGCCUGCCUUUUAUUUUUCAAUCUUUGCUCUCACUAUUUAAAUGUUUGUGCAUUGCAUUAUCUUAGGACAACACAAAGAGUCUAACCUCUUUAGGUUGUUCUAUGUAACUUGCACAAGGUGAUCGCUGUUGUAAGUUUGAGAUUCAUCAGCACCAAACUAGGAAUCGUUUUGGCAUUGUCAGUGCUCACUUUGCCAAGUAUUUGUGUCAGAUGAGUAGGAACCAAAAGUAACAUGAAUGCAAGUUGGGAGGAAGGAUUUAAAAAAGGCUUGCAAUGAUACUGAGGUUACUUUAUUAGAAAUGGUUGGCAAAAUUUCACUCACCGAAUAGCUGGGGCAAGGCUUAGGGAAUAUGCUAUGGUUUGUUUAUGAAGAUUGUCUCUUAAAAAACAUGUAAGUCGGUGAAUGAAGAACUCUGCCAUAAAACUGGAUGUCAAUCAUUAGUGGACAAUAAUAUGAUAACAAGUCUGUCUUGGAAGGCUCUCCCAUACCCAUUACAUAUGCUAACCCUUGUUCCAUAAUCAUAUAGGCUAAUAUAAAAUUCCAUCAUUGUGACUCCACAAAAAUUCCUAGAACUUUGAAAGGAUGAGGUUUAAAGAGCUAUAUUAGGAUGCAAAAGCAGAAGAAGGUGAUGCUUAUCACAUGACAGUUUGUACAUUCCAACUUCCAUAAUGUUCAAGCACAUAUAAUCAAACAAAAACUGCACUUAUAACUAGCAUAAAAUUAUUAGCAUCACACCUAUAGCUAUAAGUGCAGUGUAAUAUAGUUCAGGAAAUAUGAUAAACAUUUUUUCAUGAAUGGUAAAACAGAUAAGCUCUGAAAGAAUAAAGUCGCCAAAUAACAAAUUAACAACAUAACAAGACAAACAAAAAUAAAAUAAGAUGCAGGACAAUGGAUGAAAAAAUAUACACCACAAAUUGUAGAACUUUUGAUCGUCCAGCAGCUGCAAUAGAUGUAUCCAAAUGCCACUCAUUUGAAUUUACCUGUAAAUUUUGUCUCAAAACCACUUUCAGAAUUUUGCAAAGAGAAAAAUAUCUUAAAACAGAAGGUUGAAGAUAUACUAAGGAAAUAACAGAAAAGUAUCGUAAUAUACAAAACACAACAUUUGAAAGGCAAGAAUUGCAUCCUCAAGGAAAAUAUUUAAGAAGCUUGUUUACAUUUUUUAUAAAUUUUAUUUAUAAUCCCUAUACUAGUGAAAGUACAUUCUGGCAAUAUAGCUCAGCAUUUCAUCUGUUUAAAUUGGUGAAUCGGCAAAUUGUAGCUUUCCACAAAAUUUGACAAUAUGUUGCUUUCAUCUACUCCGCAUAGGUUGUGAUAUGAUAUGCUAGAAUAUAGAAGAAAGUUCGAAGGUGAAAAGAUCUUACAUUCCCAAAGCCCCCUAACAAGGCAGAUAAUAGAAGUCCAUUGAUAAAAAAAGUUCCACCAAGUAUCCAAGAAAAUAAAAUUAUAAAAGCAGAACUGCAAUAACUGCUAUCAUUUCAUCCAAAAAGACAAACCACUGACUCCAUGUUUGAGAAUGCACAGUUAAUAUUCGUGAACCCCUAAUAAUUUGGCCCAUAAGAAUAUUUUCUUACUCGAUUGACACAAGUCACUGUAUCCUCCAAUUUCCAGUUAAAAACUAUAAUUUCACCACCAUAAAAUCUCAUGUGACAUUAAUUUCGAAAUUGCAAGAUUCUCCUUCAUAGAUUUCCUUUUCACCCUUCCUUUAGAGCUGCAAGGACACAGAUGGAAAACACCAACUUGUAGCUUAAUUUUUGAAGAUCUUACACCUAACUCCAGAGUCAGAUUAAGUGAAUCAUCUUCCACACUGCCAAGCUUGCAAUUUUAUAGCCUUAGUCUAAAAUAUGCCGCUCAGAACUACACUUUGAUUUUCAAGGGGACAUGAGAUGAGGAUAGAUUCCUACUAUCAGAAAAUAAGUCUCCCAUUUCAGAAACAUAACCAAUUUAGUUACAGAUAAUCCUUCCUGGGUCCAUCAUCAAAUGCACUGACUGCCAGAGCCAGCUGUAUGCCUUAAAAACAAGCUAAGAAGCUAGGGAAGUAUACAUGCGUCUGUAUAGAUAAACAUACAUUAUACAUGUAAUAAUUAGUAACCCAGGACCUUUUCUCUAGCACAAAAAAGAAAAAGA